GACGAACGCUGGCGGCGUGCCUAAUACAUGCAAGUCGAGCGAACAGACGCGGCGCUUGCUCCUCUGACGUUAGCGGCGGACGGGUGAGUAACACGUGGAUAACCUACCUAUCAGUCUGGGAUAACUUCGGGAAACCGGAGCUAAUACCGGAUAAUAUCUUGAACCGUAUGGUUCAUUAGUGAAAGACGGUUUUGCUGUCUCUUCUAGAUGGAUCCGCGCGGCAUUAGCUAGUUGGUACGGUAACGGCUUACCAAGGCAACGAUGCGUAGCCGACCGGAGAGAGUGAUCGGCCACACUGGAACUGAGACACGGUCCAGACUCCUACGGGAGGCAGCAGUAGGGAAUCUGCCGCAAUGGGGGGAAGCCUUACGGAGCAACGCCGCGUGAGUGAUGAAGGUGUUCGGAGCGUAAAACUCUGUUAUUAGUGAAGAACAAAUGUGUAAGGAACUAAGCACGUCUUGACGGUACCUGAUCAGAAAGCCACGGCUAACUACGCG
rnacentral:rRNA from 1 species